UGGGGAAUAUUGGACAAUGGGCGAAAGCCUGAUCCAGCCAUGCCGCGUGUGUGAAGAAGGUCUUCGGAUUGUAAAGCACUUUAAGUUGGGAGGAAGGGCAGUAAGCGAAUACCUUGCUGUUUUGACGUUACCGACAGAAUAAGCACCGGCUAACUCUGUGCCAGCAGCCGCGGUAAUACAGAGGGUGCAAGCGUUAAUCGGAAUUACUGGGCGUAAAGCGCGCGUAGGUGGUUCGUUAAGUUGAAUGUGAAAGCCCCGGGCUCAACCUGGGAACUGCAUCCAAAACUGGCGAGCUAGAGUAGGGCAGAGGGUGGUGGAAUUUCCUGUGUAGCGGUGAAAUGCGUAGAUAUAGGAAGGAACGCCAGUGGCGAAGGCGACCACCUGGGCUCAUACUGACACUGAGGUGCGAAAGCGUGGGGGGCAAACAGG
rnacentral:rRNA from 1 species